rnacentral:rRNA from 1 species
UACGAAGGGGGCUAGCGUUGUUCGGAAUUACUGGGCGUAAAGGGCGCGUAGGCGGCCUGACAAGUCAGAGGUGAAAGUCCUGGGCCCAACCUGGGGACUGCCUUUGAAACUGUCGGGCUUGAGACCGGGAGAGGUGAGUGGAAGUCCCAGUGUAGAGGUGAAAUUCGUAGAUAUUGGGAAGAACACCAGUGGCGAAGGCGGCUCACUGGACCGGUUCUGACGCUGAGGCGCGAAAGCGUGGGGAGCAAACAGG